CCUCCUUUAUCGGUUUUUACACUAACCAGACCCACCUGCGACAAUUUUCUGUGGUUUUCGACCGUCGCAGCAAGAACGAGCCGGAGUGAAUCUCCGUCAACGACUCCGCCAGAAGUAAAAGAGUGAAGAUGGAAUCAUGGAUUUGAGAUAUGGAUAAACCAAUUUACCGCUUAGAGAUUCUGGUCUUCUUCUCAUUGAAAAAGAGUGCAUGGCUUGUAAGCAAGAUGGGAAGACUUACCGUAGGAGUGUAGUAUGAGCCGCAAAGAUACUGUAAAGUACAGAGAUUUUUCGAGAGGAGAUUCCUCACUAUCUUCUGCAAUGGCAUGGCAAAGUUCUGGCAAGUUGUGAUUCGGGGAAGAUGGUUGAUUUGGCAACAGAUUUCAAAGCAUAUUAAAGAAGUGAGUUGAUCCAUUUCUUUUGUUCUUUUAUGUUUAUAUAUCUUAUUAGUUUCUAGAGUUAGACAAGACGUUAUGGUCAUUUUUCUGGUAAUGAGAUUUAUGGUGAUUCAAGUUGUUGAUGUUAGCGAACACAAUGAAAUGGCUUUGUUCAUUCAUUUAUCCAAAUACAUCUUGGCAUCACUUAGAUAUUUUAGGAUAUGAUACUUUCUCUAAAAACAACUUGGAAUAGUUGAAAGAGGAAUCUUGAAGUUUUGGUGUUUUAGUAAAGACAAAAGUCUUCAUAGAGUCCUCAUGUAGUGUACAAACUCCUCUAGCGAGUUGUGUGAAGAACCUCCACUUAUAACAGAGGCUCUAAGUUGCUCUUUCAAACUGAUAGCUCUCUUCCUCAUCCCCUCCCCUUCUUCCUCCACCAUUAACCUCCUCACAGCUCUCUCGACCGCUCCUCUGUCUAGAUCACCCUCAACUUGAAUCCCAAUUUUCCAUACACACUCCAAGUAUCUCGCAUUCACCAUUUGAUCACUGGAAAACGGCUUGCAAAUCAUUGGAACUCCUUCCCCGAUGCUCUCUAGUGUCGAGUUCCAUCCGCAAUGGCUCCAAAAUCCUCCUACUGCAGGAUGAGAAAGUACUUCCUUCUGUGGAGCCCAUUUCACAAUGUAACCUCGACCCGAAAUUAUCUUACUAAACUCCUUAGGCAAGUUCUCUAUCCAUUCCGAACCACGUACUGACCCUGGCCGAAUGACCCACAAGAACUGUUGCUUGCUACUAUCCAAUCCCAAAGCAGUUUCUAUCACCUCAUUGAUUUCCAUCAAAGCUAAGCUUCCCAAGCUUACGAAUAUCACAGAGUUUUUCUUUUGUUUGUUCAACCAUUCAAUACAGCUCUUGUUCUCUUCAAGAAGACUCGUAGAAGCUGAUGCCACCAGGUGAAGAGGGCCUAUAGGAUAAACUGGAAUUUGUAGCUGUUGCUGCAGACGAGACAGAGAUGAGCUCUCUAGACAGCUCGCUGUGUUGAUUAUCACCGAGGAAGCUGUCCGUUUGUCAACUGUAUUCCUAUACAGCUCCAUCAUGCUUUCUAAUGAUGCCCAAUGUGAAACCGGAAAGUCUUUGCAUCUCAGGGGAUGAAACUCUGGCACUAGCUCGUUUUGUUGUCCUUUGGGUUCUGCAAAAAGGUCAAGAACCAUGCUGUUACAGAUUAUAGAAACCAGCAAGAAUAGAAGACAGAGAAUUCAAGAGUACCUUUCAAGGGAGUCAGGAUACUGUUUGCAUAAAGUUUGUCGAAUGCAGAGCGGCAAACAAAAGCCGUGGCACUUGUGGUGCUGAAAAUGACGUUUGGAAGCUUAAACUCUUUGGCUGCAGCUUCAGCAAAGUACAUGAACUCGUCGUAGACAACACAGGCUAUCUCAUUACCUUGUUGCAGCAACAACUGACCCAAACAGUCUUUGAAGCUCACCUGACACUCUUUGUUGAGCUUAUGCAGAAACUCUAUUGGCCCGAGAUCCUCAAAAUCAGACUCUGGUAAGCUUUCUGGAAUGGUGACAAACUGAAAAUCAGUGAAGUCAUCUGAAGGGCUAAAGUAAUUGAACUUUGUCUGAGCGAUUGUGAUUGAGAAACCCUUCAAGUGAAGUGUUUUUGCAAGUUGCAUUAUUGGAGAGAUAUGUCCUUGAGCUGGAACUGCAACCAACACUACUCUUCUGCCCGCCGGCUUUUCCUCCAUUUCGAAAAUUUACAAGAACUGCUCUGCCUCGUGCUUUCCGAAUUUGGUCCUCCAAUUUCUUUUCUUCCCUGUGACCGAUCUAUGAGAAUAUUAAAAUGAGUAUGUUUCUGAGAUAAAUAUCAGAUUCUCAGACUUGUGGACAUUGUUUCAUCUGUAUUUCGUUUUUCUUGGCUCUCUUUACUUAUUGACAUUGGUAUAUCUCUCUAUCUUGAUAACC